rnacentral:rRNA from 1 species
ACACCGGCGUAACUACCGUGCCAGCAGCCGCGGUAAUACGGAGGGUGCGAGCGUUAAUCGGAAUUACUGGGCGUAAAGACGCAUGCAGGCGGGCCUCGUUAAGUCAGAUGUGAAAGACCCGGGGCGUUAACCUCGGAAUUGCAUUUGUAAACUAGGCAGGCUAGAGUCUUGUAGAGGGGGGUAGGAAUUUCUAGGUGUAGCGGUGAAAUAGCGUAGAGAUCUGAAGGAAUACCAGUGGCGAAGGCGGCCCCCUGGACAAAGACUGACGCUCAGAUCGCGAAAGCGUGGGGAGCAAACAGGAUUAGAUACCCCUGGUAG